UGGUGCUCAUCCCACUGGUGCCAGGGCAGAAGCCUUGGUUCUUCUGCUCUGCAGCUAAGACAUCUCCUGCCCCAAUUUUUCCACUCCUUUUAGGAAAUGGAGAGAGCUCGCCAGCGAGAAGAGGAGAGUAGGAGAGAUUUGGAAAGGUGGAAAGAGGAGGAGAGGACAAAGCUGCAUGAAGAGAUAGAUGGUCUGAGGCAGCUCUUCCUUGCAGCGUUCAAGGAUGUGUCCAGCAGGAGCAUUGCCAUGGAGGGGAUACUGCAGGAACUUCAGGCCAGGAAGGCGGUGGUGUCCAACCUGGGCAUCCUGCGGGACGAUGACACCAAGGAGGCACAGUGGCAGGCACCAAGCCGGGCAGAGCUGUGGGGUGAGCGGGAGAGGAUGGCAGUGCAGUUGAAGAAAGACAACAAGACACUCCGUACCACGCCAUCCCAGGACCAGGGGGCAGUUAUGGACCGUGCCCCUCAGCAGAUGGAUGCCCUCAGCACCCAUCUUGGGGAGCAGCCCAAGGUCACAAACUCCCAGGAGAAAGCGGCAAGUGAAAUAAAAAAGAAAAGAGGCCUCGGUUCAUCAAGA
rnacentral:lncRNA from 1 species